UACGUAGGGUGCAAGCGUUGUCCGGAAUUAUUGGGCGUAAAGAGCUCGUAGGCGGUUUGUCGCGUCUGCUGUGGAAACCCGAGGCUCAACCUCGGGCCUGCAGUGGGUACGGGGCAGACUAGAGUGCGGUAGGGGGAGAUUGGAAUUCCUGGUGUAGCGGUGGAAUGCGCAGAUAUCAGGAGGAACACCAAUGGCGAAGGCGGGUCUCUGGGCCGUUACUGACGCUGAGGAGCGAAAGCGUGGGGAGCGAACAGG
rnacentral:rRNA from 1 species